rnacentral:rRNA from 1 species
AUGCGUGGCGAGCGAUUCUGGGUGGGACGACGCUUCGCUGGAAGGAUCCACCGACGGGGCCGGUCAGCUAGCGCGUGUGCUCGCCACACACCCCAAAUCCUCCCCCACGCGGCCACGCCUACUCAAGCAAACAGACGAUCCAUCCAUCCAAACCAAUCCGACCAACCAAGAAACACCGCCGGCCGCAACCACCAAGAACCUUCAUCCAUGGUGACCCUGUUCUGCGCAGCCGCUGCCACCUCGUGCCGCCUAACCUUCCCGCUUGCCGCGCCGGCGCCGGCGCCAGGCCUUGGCCGCGGCCGGGUCCGACGGGGCACGGUGGCGGUGCGUGCGGAUGGAGACACCGCCGCUGCUGGGAGCGGGAUAAACCCGGCCAUCCGAAAGGAGGAGGCCAAGGUGGUCGACACCGUCCUGGCCGGGGAGCUCUCCAAGCCGCUCACCCCGUACUGCCGGUGCUGGAGAUCGGGAACAUUUCCACUGUGUGAUGGAAGCCAUGUGAAGCACAACAAAGCAACGGGAGAUAAUGUAGGGCCCUUGCUUGUUAAGAAGUAG